UACAGAGGGUGCAAGCGUUAAUCGGAAUUACUGGGCGUAAAGCGUGCGUAGACGGUUUCGUAAGUCGGGUGUGAAAUCCCCGGGCUCAACCUGGGAAUUGCAUUCGAGGCUGCGAGGCUAGGGUACGGAAGAGGGAAGCGGAAUUUCUGGUGUAGCGGUGAAAUGCGUAGAUAUCAGAAGGAACAUCAGUGGCGAAAGCGGCUUCCUGGUCCAGUACCGACGUUCAGGCACGAAAGCGUGGGGAGCAAACAGG
rnacentral:rRNA from 1 species